rnacentral:tRNA from 1 species
GCCUUUGUGAUGUGACAGUCAGCACGCUCGGCUCGUAUUCGAGAGGUCCGAGGUUCGAGUCCCAGCAAGGGCA